rnacentral:rRNA from 1 species
ACGAACGCUUGCGGCGUGCCUAAUCCAUGCAAGUAGAACGCUGAAGGAGGAGCUUGCUUCUCUGGAUGAGUUGCGAACGGGUGAGUAACGCGUAGGUAACCUGCCUGGUAGCGGGGGAUAACUAUUGGAAACGAUAGCUAAUACCGCAUAAGAGUAGAUGUUGCAUGACAUUUGCUUAAAAGGUGCAAUUGCAUCACUACCAGAUGGACCUGCGUUGUAUUAGCUAGUUGGUGGGGUAACGGCUCACCAAGGCGACGAUACAUAGCCGACCUGGGAGGGUGAUCGGCCACACUGGGACUGAGACACGGCCCAGACUCCUACGGGAGGCAGCGAUAGGGAAUCUUCGGCAAGGGGCGGAAGUCUGACCGAGAAAAGCGGCGUGAGUGAAGAGGGUUUUCGGGUCGUAAAGCUCUGUUGUAGGAGAAGAACGAGUGUGAGAGUGGAAAGUUCACACUGUGACGGUAUCUUAUCAGAAAGCGACGGCUAACUACGUG